AUGAACGCUGGCGGCGUGCCUAAUACAUGCAAGUCGAGCGAACAGAUGAGGAGCUUGCUCCUCUGACGUUCGCGGCGGACGGGUGAGUAACACGUGGAUAACCUACCUAUAAGACUGGGAUAACUUCGGGAAACCGGAGCUAAUACCGGAUAAUAUAUUGAACCGCAUGGUUCAAUAGUGAAAGACGGUUUUGCUGUCACUUAUAGAUGGAUCCGCGCCGCAUUAGCUAGUUGGUAAGGUAACGGCUUACCAAGGCAACGAUGCGUAGCCGACCUGAGAGGGUGAUCGGCCACACUGGAACUGAGACACGGUCCAGACUCCUACGGGAGGCAGCAGUAGGGAAUCUUCCGCAAUGGGCGAAAGCCUGACGGAGCAACGCCGCGUGAGUGAUGAAGGUCUUCGGAUCGUAAAACUCUGUUAUUAGGGAAGAACAAAUGUGUAAGUAACUAUGCACGUCUUGACGGUACCUAAUCAGAAAGCCACGGCUAACUACGUG
rnacentral:rRNA from 1 species